AUUGAACGCUGGCGGCAGGCCUAACACAUGCAAGUCGAGCGAGCGGCGGACGAGUGAGUAAUGUAUGGGGACUGCACGAUAGAGGGGGAUAACUACUGGAAACGGUAGCUAAUACCGCAUACUAUCGGAUGACCCAUAUGGGAUUAGCUAGUAGGUGAGGUAAUGGCUCACCUAGGCGACGAUCCCUAGCUGGCCUGAGAGGAUGAUCAGCAACACGGGGACUGAGACACGGCCCAUCCGCCGACGGAGGCAGCAGUGGGGAAUAUUGCACAAUGGGCGCAAGCCUGAUACAGCGAGGCCGCGUGUAUGAAGAAGGCCCUGGGGUUGUAAAGUACUUUUGGCAGAGAAGCGGUAUCUGCAGAAUAAGCACCGGCUAACUACGUGCCAGCAGCCGCGGUAAUUC
rnacentral:rRNA from 1 species